CACGCGCGCUCCGGAAGGCGCCCUCCAGUGGGAGGUUGCUCAGGGGAUGGCGGAGCUGUGAAACUCGGAGCUAGAAGGAAAGUCUCAACGCUUGUCUAAAUUUUGCUUUGUCGUGACGAGCUACCUAGACCCACGCAGAGCUAACUUGGGAGAGCGCUUGUGACGCUACGAACCUCUCGAACACCUGACGACUGGGCGCCAGGGCCGGAUGGAGGGUGGAGAGCCAGUGCGGCGCAGCUGCCUCCUCUUAACGGGGACACCUUGCAGGAAUGUGCGGAGUGGAGCUAACGGGAGCGGAUAGAAACCGAGGGAGGGGAAGAGAGCGCGAAGGCUUGGCCGGAAGGAGAGGUUAAAAAGGAAAGGCCUAAAAUGAGGAAGAGAGUUACCACAACAAGCAGUACCUAGUUCCAGUUCUUGGUCCCAGGAGUUUGUGGUUGUUGCUGCUUUCAUCUUCCUCAGCCAACACAAAAGGAAAGUGCCAAGGGGCGAUUCCUAGGACCUUCAGUGCAGUCUCCACCUUGCGGACUUGGCUCAUUUGUGUCCACUCCUUUCUCCAGCCUUUUACACUUGAUGCUCUUGGAUGAAUAGAAAGGAGCACAAUUAAUGGAAAACACAAGCUUGGGAGUCAAGGGAUUUGGGUUCUAUUCUUGUCCUCCCUUGGUGACGACAUCAUUACCUUGGGUUAUUCAAGCUUUCAGUGCCAGAGUUCCUAUAUCAAUAAAAGAUUAUUACAUUGACCUCUUAGAGAAAUGUUUUCAUGGUACUGAAUUGCAAAUAAAGUAUGUGUAGCGAUGUGUUAAAAAAAAAAAAAAAAAA
rnacentral:lncRNA from 1 species